UAGAGUUUGAUCAUGGCUCAGAGCGAACGCUGGCGGCAGGCCUAACACAUGCAAGUCGAGCGCCCAGCAAUGGGAGCGGCAGACGGGAGAGUAACACGUGGGAACAUGCCCUUCAGUUCGGAACAACCAAGGGAAACUUUGGCUAAUACCGGAUACGCCCUUACGGGGAAAGAUUUAUCGCUGAAGGAUUGGCCCGCGUUAGAUUAGCUAGUUGGUGAGGUAAUGGCUCACCAAGGCUACGAUCUAUAGCUGGUCUGAGAGGAUGAUCAGCCUCACUGGGACUGAGACACGGCCCAGACUCCUACGGGAGGCAGCAGUGGGGAAUAUUGGACAAUGGGCGCAAGCCUGAUCCAGCCAUGCCGCGUGGAUGAUGAAGGCCCUAGGGUUGUAAAGUCCUUUUAACGGGGAAGAUAAUGACGGUACCCGUAGAAUAAGCCCCGGCUAACUUCGUGCCAGCAGCCGCGGUAAUAC
rnacentral:rRNA from 1 species